GUCCACGCCGUAAACUAUGAGAACUAGAUUUGGGGGGAGUUUGACCCCUUCCGAAUCGAAGCGAACGCAUUAAGUUCUCCGCCUGGGAAGUACGGUCGCAAGACUAAAAACUCAAAGGAAUUGACGGGGGCCCGCACAAGCGGUGGAUUAUGUGGUUUAAUUCGAAGCAACGCGAAGAACCUUACCUAGGUUUGAAAUCCUGAGAAUCCUCCGGAAAUGGAGGAGUGCCCUUCGGGGAAUUCAGUGACAGGUGCUGCAUGGCUGUCGU
rnacentral:rRNA from 1 species